rnacentral:rRNA from 1 species
AUGGCAGAGAACCGACCGGAGACGAUGGCGAACAGCACGGCCCCGCGGUUCGUGGUCUCCUACAGCGCGAACCCACAGCCGCAACCCCUGGUGGUGAAGCUCAAGUGGUCCAACAUCUACGAGAGCGAGAGCGAGACGGAGGAGCAGUUCUCCGGCCUCACGGCGGAGACGCCCGUCGACUGGGCCGUGGAGCUCCGCCGCCGCAUCGCCGCGAACCUGCAGUGGCUGGUGGAGAAGACCGUGCGGUCCAGCAUCUACCGGAGCAGCUACUGGAGGGAGCGGUGCUUCGGCCUCACUGCGGAGACCCUCGUCGGCAGGACCGUGGAGCUCGACCACGUCAGCGGCACCUACGGUCGCAGCAGGCCGACCCCCUUCCUGUGCCUCGCCCUCAAGAUGCUCCAGAUGCAGCCCGACAGGGAGACCGUCGUCGGGUUCAUCAGCAACGAGGAGCACAGGUACCUUCGAGCUCUCGGGGCCUUCUACCUGCGCCUCACCGGCGCCGGCGCCGACGUUCGCCGGUACCUCGAGCCGCUCUCCAACGACCACCGCGAGAUCAGGGAGAGGAUCAGCGACGAAGAAUUCAUGCUCACGGGCUAUUUCAUUGAUGAGCUCCUGACUCAGGACUCCUGCUGCGACAUUGUCCUCCCCCGCAUUUAG